CGGGGGGGCAAGCGUUGUUCGGAAUUACUGGGCGUAAAGGGCGCGUAGGCGGUGCUCUAAGUCGGAUGUGAAAACUCUGGGCUCAACCCAGAGCCUGCAUCCGAAACUGGAGUGCUAGAGUUCUGGAGGGGGUAGCGGAAUUCCUGGUGUAGCGGUGAAAUGCGUAGAUAUCAGGAGGAACACCGGUGGCGAAGGCGGCUACCUGGACAGAAACUGACGCUGAGGCGCGAAAGCUAGGGGGAGCAAACAGGAUUAGAUACCCUGGUAGUCCUAGCCCUAAACGAUGGAUACUUGGUGUGACUGGGAUUGAAUCCAGUCGUGCCGAAGCUAACGCAUUAAGUAUCCCGCCUGGGGAGUACGGUCGCAAGGCUG
rnacentral:rRNA from 1 species